UCGCAUUUAAUAACAAUGAUUAUUUGAUAUGGCUCGUGUAAUCUUUCUAUAGCCGUGCAUAAUGACCGAGACUUAACGCAAAGUAUCAUCCAACGCACAUGCAAGAGAAUACGUGUUACGCGGCAAUUGCAUAACGUCGUUUAAGUGUGCAAUAUGUCGGUAAUUUGCAUGUAAUAAACCCAUCGUAUCGUAAUACGCGACACAAUGCGUGAUCAACAGCUUAUUCCUAACCGACGGAUUCACUAACCGUUAGAGGGCGUCGGUAUCGCGAACAAUAAUCACGUAUCUCCGAAAUCUACGUUUAAAUAAUUUUUCUGCGCAGUUGUGCGGUAACAUCUGGUAAAAUGAUAACAUCUUGCAAGAUUUCGUCGCUUAAUAAAUUUCCUUGUACGUUCAAUUAUGUGUAUUCACGUAUGUAUUUAGUAGUGUCGGGAUAGCUAUAAAUUAAUCGAUAAUCACCGAAUUAUCAAUAAUACGAAUCGCGAUUGAAUGCGUGGCGUUUUUAAUUGAAAACGUGUAAUACGUAUUAAUAUUCGUAUAAUAUUAAAUAAAACUGUAAAUGAACAAUAAGUUCAACGAUUAUAUAUCACGCAAUGGAAAGAAUUAUUCUACACAUGUGCCUUCCUAUUUUAUCGGACGCCAUAACCUACAAGCUUACAAUCUUCGCAUCGUAUAAGGUACGUAUCCCCCAAUCGGUCAUUUAACGGAGGCCAUCGUACACGCGUAAGUUCGAAAUCAAGGGCCCAUUCAUUCCUAUUCCCCGUCGACGCUCAAUUAAGUCAGGUAAACAAUGAGAAGAGGGGGCCAGACCGUUUCGACCACCGAGUCGAAACCCCCCUCUCUCUCUCUCUCUCGCCUUUAUCUUCCUUUUCCCUCUUUUUUUUUCUCUUAAUUUACGACGCCACCGAAGCGGCCUCGAUAAUCAGGACCACGUCGCUGGAAUAGCAGCCCCCUCUCGCGACUUUCUCUUUUUUCCUUUUUUUUCUCUUCUUUACCUGCCGGAUUAGUAGCGAUAUCGGCCACGACCAAUGCAUGCACACUGUCGCCCUACGUUCCGCGCCAAGAUGGAAGCCGGGGUUGGAAGAAGGAGGGAAGGAUGAGACGAGAAGGGGGCGAGAAAGAGAGCAGGCCGGCGGUGAUGGGGAGGGAGCGGUUCAUGCGUUUCUUUCGUCGCGGGGUUUCGUUUGCAAUAAUUUAUGCGGGGAGACAGCUUGAGAAAUGACCGUUGGCUCCUUGUGCAACCUUAAUUUGCAACAGUUUACUUCGGCUACGUUUCGAGGGACGAGAGAGAGAGAUAUAUAUAUAUGGAUGUUAUGGGUGCCGCGCUUCGGAUCGCAUAAAGACAUUUAUCGCGGAUCGAGCAUCGAUGAGGAUCGAGGAGGGGAAAAAAAAGGAAAAAGGAAGAGGAGGAGGAAUGCUUUGGCCCCGGACUAACUGGUAUAAUUAGCGAUACAGUGUUGUCCGUGGAUGCCGUGUGGGCGAGGGGGCCGACAGAGAGAAGAGCCGGCGACUUGUGGCCCCGCUUAUCGCUAUCGUUGGAAUGCAUUGUGGCCGGGUGCUACGUAAAAUAUGGACGCGUUCCCGAGGUGAAAAAUAAUAAGAGAAGGAAAAGAAAAACGUAUAUAUAUAUAUAUAUAUUUACGUUUAUUUACGCGGUUUCCCCUAUCUGAUCUCGUUCCCCGUGAGCCAGGUUGUCUUGUUCCUUGGUAUGGUUGCAUGUCUUCGCGGAAAGUGUUAUUAGAAAUUGUUAACUGUCUAACGUUCUAAUCGCGGGAACGGAUUGGAACUGAUAAAUGGAACGUUUAUGAAGGUGUUUACAAACAGUUGGCGGUAUCUCGCGGGAGAUAUAAAGCAUAAGUAAUCCGAAUGAGGCCCAGUGUAAUGAUUGAAACGUAAGGAAGUGGUCGUGUGUUAACGAUAGCGGGGCUUGUUGUAUAAGAUCAAUCGCAAGUUAAAAACUUUCUGUUGUUAUUAUACGAUACACGAUUUUACUUAAAAAAAAUACUCGAUAUGCUUUUAACCUUUUGUGCAACCUUCGUGUUCCCCCGUAUAUUUUCCUUUCUGUUUAUCUAUGCGUGAAUCGAUCGGUUUGAAACUCGACGAAAAAUUGUCGUCGAUUGCGCAAAUCGAGCUAAACUAUAAACUAAUACUUGACUUGGACCAAUUCGAUUAUUCAAAUAUUCUUAUUCCUCGAAACUUCCCGUUGAACAUCCUCUCGCUCUUCUUCGUGUUUUCAAAAACUACGCGCCCCGAUCUAAAGUACAUUUACAUCCGAUUUCCGAAGUUGUUCUUCGAUCGAUACGAAUAGAAAACUCGGUUGGUUCUCACGAUGGGUGAAGAGUUAAGAGACGAUAAAAGAUGAUGGAUUCGGGAUUCGACGAUCGCUCUUAGAGUGCAAAGAAACGGACGCGUCGUUUCGUUCGUGUCAGCGGAUAAAUCGAGGGAACGAAAUCGGGAACGCCGACAUCUCUGAACGACCUCGGGAUCGCUGCAAUCGUCCAGGAUCACGAGAAAUCGUUCGCUGUUGCAUCGUCCGAGUUGUAGAGAGAGGAGGAGGGCUACGUAUAUACGUCAGCGUAAAGAGUCGUUGAAACAUUAAACUGACCUUUCCGGUUCAUUGGACAUAUAUAUCGGCCCGUAGCCCGUGGUAUAUACCCGUGAGACAAUUACGCUGUAACGAUCCACGACCACGAUCCAUCAGAAUUCCGUCACGCGUCGUGAGCAUAACCGUGAUUCGAUGAAAUUCCCUUUCGGCCUUCCUUCCCUCCCCUAACCCUUUUCGGCCUGCGUUAAACGCUGAUUUAAAGGGGAGAAUCGGAAACAAUCGAUGGAACGCCAGUCGAAUUUCUUGGAAACGAACUGAACCCAUACACGCGUGUGUCACGUUCGCCAUAUUUGGCCGGAGAAAUUUGUUUCGUCCACGCGAUGAAAGGAUGAAAGGAAUUUUGUUCCUUGUGUGAUAAGAGGAGUCGCUCAAUAUCUCUAGGAUAUCGUGAUCUAUCGAAGAAAAGGAAAAGAAAAUGAGUAAGGAUCGAUCUGCAAGAGUUCUUUAAAAAAGAAAGAACUCUAGUGUACAUAAAAAAAUUUACUUCUCACCUACACUUGUUACCUAAACCUCAAACCAUAACAAUUUUUCUAUCGUAAAAUAAAGCACAGCGAAAGAAAUAACCUCGAAAUAACGCUCGAGUUCAUGCAUUUUUCAAGAGCAUUCAAUUUGGAGCCCUCCCGAAUUCUCCGGGCAAACAUCGAUAUUUAACCGCAAACGAAUCCACUUUUCGUUUCGAAUCGAAGAGACGGAUGGAACGGUAGGAAAGAGAUGAAAGAACGAAGGAAAGGAUGGCCAGGCUGGGGCGUGGGGAGGACAGAGCGACGAGGCGAAAAGCGUAGUAGCGCGGGAUGAAGUCAAUUACAUUAUGCAUAUGACUGGUGGAAGGCAAUACAAGAAGCAAUCGAUCAACGAUGGAGGCAUGCCACCGCUAAAUUAACUACCUACCUAGUUGUGCGUAAUGCAAUAAUGUAUUAGCUGUAUCUACUUCAACCCCUCGUCCACGCCAUCUCCUUCUUUUCCUUCUUGUCCCUUUUACAUAUUCCAACCAUUACGAGGACUCAUUCCUCCGUAUUCCUCCUUUCCAUUCACUUCUAUCCGUAUCUUUCUAUUUUUUUCUUUAUUUUUUGAUUUCUGCUCGUCUGGCUGGAUGAGUAAUUGGGGACGUAAAUGGCGCUCGUGUGAGAAAUCAGAAUUGCUCGUGUUUCGUUUUUCUUGGAUGAAAAAAAGAUUUAUGAAAUGAAAAAGAGAGAGAGAUAACGUUUCGAAAUCGCAUAGGUGGUUUUGGAUUUCUGGCAAAAAUUUCAAGGUUGUCUCGCGGUUUGAUUAUUCAGAAUGAAUUUCAUAAUUUGACGACGUUUCGUGGAUCUCUUCUUAGAAUAUUUUUAAUCGACUUCAAGAGUAAUCGAGAUGUAUCUUUAUAUUAUACAUCGAAACGAAUUGAUAAAAAUUCAAAUUCAGAUAUUCCUAUAAUUACUCCAAAUCGAAAUAUCACUUUAAUAAUCCGAUAUAAAUCUAAUAUCUAAGUUUAAGAAACAAUUCAAUCGAAAGAAAAAACGACGGUUCGUUGUACGUAACAAAAAUAUCAAGUAUAGGCGUCGCCUAUACUUCGGAUGCAUCGUUCGACUAGAGAUGCGCGUGAAUGUACUCCAACAUGGUUUUAUGAUGUAAUACGGUCCGCUAUGGCAUCGGGUCUGGGUACGAAUAAGGCUUUAGUGCCUUCGUAAUACCAAGUAAAGCUUUCCAGUUUAUCGGCGCGCUUUACAGAAGAACAGUGAAAAUUGUCCAUCUCUGUGUGUGCACGUACCCGCCAGACGAGCGAAGAUAAAAAGAAAAGAGGAGAGAAGGAAAGGAACGAAAAGGGGAAAAAGGGAAUCGAAGGGGGAGCAUCGUCGACACGUGAGAAACAAGUGUUUCACGUUCUCGCGCGAUACAUCUUCCUCGCGGGUCUCCCGCGUUUUCUCGAUUUUCUGCCGCAAUUGGGAAUCGUAAAAUACGAUCGCGGAAGCGUGGAGCUCGAUCGGAGAAAAAGAGCUCGAAACGGAGCGGGUAUUCCGGAAAAUUGGCUCGCGGCGAACAAGGAGGAAUGGUCGAUACUACUCUCCGCUUGCUCUCUGUUUUACGAGCGUCGCGCGAGGAGAAGUAAAUUUCUCUGGGAAAGCUUUUCGCCCCGAUCGAAUCAUCCGCGAUAAAAAUGGUCCCGAAAUGGUACGGUGGAUGGACUCGGAGAGCAAGGAGAGCACAGUUUAUUCACAUGGCGUUUGGCAAGCUUCGAGGCUCGUAGCCUGCCUUCUUUUCAUAAAUUCUACGUAAUAAUAACGGGUAUUCAUCCUCGCUCCGAAUCGAAUCUUAUUCCUUGCUUCGUAAAAAUAAAUUAAAAUUAAAAUAUUCUCUUUUAGACGUAUUACAUUGGAUCAGUCAGUUGAUACUAAUUUCCAUUCUUCUAACUUACCAACGCGUAUAUAUCCUACGUAUAAAUAUAUCACCAGAUCCCUCGAUAUCGGUCGACUAAUUAGAUUCAAAAUAUCGUUUUUCUUGGGAUAAAAUCGCCCCUCCUCGCUCGCCUGCCCAGAAGCAACAUAAGAUCCGCACGAUUCCGCAUGGCAACUUUAUACCAUACUUAACCACGGGGCUUAAAGGUUCAAAAUUCGCCCGAGAAAUAAGAUCGCGGUGUUAAUGGCGGCCCCUCGGCCGACCUCAUUACAAAUCCGAUGGGCGAUGUUCAGGCGUAGCAUAAUGCGAGCGGGCGGUACGGCCCGAUAUUCCCACUUUAUAUAUACCCCGGUUACGUAGGUGUACGGCAGAGUACACGAAAGCGGGCUUAACGGAGAGUCAACCCUUUAUCUCUCGACACGAGCGUGGCGUAAGAUUGGUUCAACGAAGCGUGAAAAACGCUCGCGCGAGCGAUCUCUUAACGGCCGAUCAGCCUUAUCGCUUAACGGCGGCUUUUCAUUUCGCGAAACCCGCCUAACGGCCACCUUUUGCCUCCACCGGUCAAGAUACGCGAUCGAAUAAUCGGUGAAAUAAAUCGGCGAGGGAGAGACUGAUCGAUAGGAUCGAUAUUUAUUAUGCGGAGAAUCGCAUCCGAUUGGCUUUAACCGAUCGUUCGAGGACGGUUUUAAUUAGUUGAUUUUUCUUAUGCCUUGUGUCUUGAACUGAAGAACGAAUGUGUGGGAAAAAUUUUCGAACGAAGAAUUGGAAGAAUAUAUUACAGAUGCCGUUCAAGAUAGAAGAGGAUUAUACGUUCUUAUGUUUUAUUUUAGACUCGUUUAAUAAUCGUCCAAGGCGAUUUUCAUCGUGUUAUCGGUAUGAUUAAACUGAGAUUCGAAAUCUUUCUAUCGUUAUCUCGUGAACACUGGAGUUUAAUGGCUGGCGAAGUGUGAGAAGAAUCGAGAGAACAGGGGAUGGUAUGCAACUGAUACGGAUGGUUGAUCGCGUUAAACAAGUUUCAUUGGAUGCGCAAGAUGAUUCCAUAACAGCAGCAGAAUAAUUAAUUUCGAAGAUGGAAUUUUGCGAUUUUAUUUUAUCGUGCAACGCGUGAUAUGCAUACGUAUAAUUUCAGAAAAUGAGCGGAAUAUUAAUGUAAAAGUAACGAUAAUGUAUGAAUUUUAUCAUUUUUGACGUACGCGUGAAUAAAUUUUGUUAUUACAUAGUUACGUAUCUUUAAAGAUCUCCUCGACACUGGUCGUGGCGAAUGUCAUUAUGCCGAUCGUAUCUUUUCUAUUUGCGUCAAUUUUAUGCAAGUAUAAGAUGAAGGUAUGCAGACAUUUUAGAGACUUCAAUGCUAGAUCAUAUCAAGAAUCCAAGCAAUUUUAAGCAAUUUCUUUCUUUUUUCUUCUUGAAAAGGAUGCAAGGAUAAAUCGUGUUGCAGCGUAUAAUAUUAUAAAAGGCGAAAUUUAUUUGUUUGUUUCGGACAAAAAUUUGAAUGCGGAAAUUUGACACUACUUGAAUUUCACUUCUGUCUGACGUCGAAGAAAAAUAUAAAAAAAAUUAAUUCUUCUAAAAAUCAAAAUACCUUACAGUCUAUUUAAAAAAAGAAAAAAAAGAAAGAUCACCAAAAAUCUUACUUUUAAGAUUAGAUCUUGAAAUUUCUCUUAUUUCUACGAUAAUUCAAUAAUCGAAUAAUUUUAUCCUUGGAAAUAUAUUUAUAACGGAAUAAAAGGAUACACUCCGACUGCAAGAACCAUUAAAGAAAUCCGCUAAACGUGCUUAUCCUAACUAACGUGUUCAUCCCUUAAUAGAAUCGGUUGACGCCGAUGACCUUGGGAUAAGAGGAACCCCGUUGGCGAACGUCCUCGAUCCUCCUCCUCCUCCUCCUUCUCGUCCAUCCAGAGAACUCUAUUAAUCGAGGCGACUCUCUGGUGUCGUUUCUGAAAAUACAAACGGGUUCGUGGAUUUUUGCCCGAGAGAAAACCGGCUUCGCGGCCGACCGGUCCGACCGAGGCCUCCUCCGCGGCGACGACCGAUAACAAGUUUUUCUGUUUUUUGCGAUUUUACAGUGAGUCAAGGCAUUAGUAACGGGAACAGCGCCGGUUUAAAAGAGCGUAGCAAGCGCGCGACGCGAGCUAAAUCGAGCGGCGAUAUCGACGGACAAAUUACCGGCUCGUUUUAAUGGCACGCCGUGUGAAAACGAUGACCGUGAGAUUAAAAGGAUUAUUUUCCGGGGCAUUCCCGCCACGUUGUACGAAAUAAAACGAGACCAGGCCUUGGUGACCUUUCGUGGUCGACGCCGCAACGGUGGAUCGCGCUCGAUCGGCCGGAUAACGGGUCCCUUGGACACGGGUUGCCGUGGAACAGGGACGAUAAACUGAUUAGAAGCCGCUUGGCCACUGACUUUAAUGGAUUGUGCAAAUGAGAAGAGCGGGUAAAAGGGUGGGAAUUGUUUCGACGGCGAAGUUUGUCGGAUCGAUGAAGCGAGAUUUGUUCCGAAUGAUGGUACGAAAAAGAUGGAAAUAAUAAGAUUUUCAAAGAUUGUUUAAUUUAUGGCUAAAUCCUUUUCCCUCCCUUUCUUCUCAUUUGUCGACUAACCAAAUCCGUGUAAACUUUAAAUUUUCCGAAUUCUCUUGUAAUAAUCUCUCUUAUAAGAAGACAUCUCCGUUCUUUAAAUUACAAAUCCGAGACACCAGGCGAAAGAAUUAUAUCCUGGUUCUCCAUCGUUUCCCCCCCGUAACGAGCGAUUCGACCGAGUUCCCCGUUCCCAGUUUCCGAGGUUUCUCGUAACCGAGAGACGAGACGAAGGCUGGGACGACAAAGAGGAUGAUUAACCUGAAAGCGGAGGUCAAAAAAAGGGCAUCGAGGAUGCACCACGGCGCUGUGGGUCGCUCGCAUAAUGGCGAAUAUCGCGGCGAAGGAGCAACGGCCAUCUUUGUUGGCCGCGGCGUGCAGGUGAGCAGAGGUGAGGUGUCCGCGGGUAACACGAUCGAGGGUGGGCUUAUGGAGAUCAAAACCCCGUAUCGGAUUCCUUAUGUCUCGUAAAUGGCUGCCCUGGAGGAUGGUGUUAGUUACAGGCAUCAGCCAUCUUUGGGACGCUUUGCGUGCUUCUUUCCCAGGAGAGGAUUUGGGGCGAGAGUGGAGCCGAGCCCUUCGUGUCCUUGACCGUGCCAACGCGUUUUCCAAAACGCCAAUCCGCAUCUCCAAUCCCCUUUCCCGAGGAUCGAUAUCGGGGACGAAAUGAAUUGCGGCGAAAGAGGCGAGGCGAACGAUGAAAAACGAGAUGAUCCACGAUAAUUCGCGUUCAAAUACCGGCUGAUUUCAUCAAUCGUUGCUCAACGAUGGGAAAAACGAUCGCGCUCUCUAAUCUUGUACUUGAAUUUUCAAUCACCCUCAUUACGUGGUAUCGAUUGCAUCAUUUCGCAUCGCGCAAUUUGCCGUUAUCCUCUAUUUGAAAUACGUGACCCGCCACGGAAUUAAAAACUCCUCUUCCUUCCCUGUACGUCCAAUUCCACGCGUUCUCCUCUUUCGCGUUCUCUACUCAACUAUCCCGAUCACUCUGUACCACAUUCCUACUUAAGGGGCCUGUAUACAACCCCGAUUUUCCUUUUCUUUUUUCUCUCUCUCUUGAUUGUUCGAGACGAGGAACAUUCGACCGAUAAUUAAUACGCGCCUUCCUUUCUCCUCUUCCAUCCAUCCUCUUCAACACGCCUCUUCCUUCCUUCCUUCCUUCCCUUCCAGUAGAUCCCUCGAGAUCCCUCGAGUUGGCACGAGAAAGUUGUACCAGCCGCCCCAUUACGUGCAAAGAUCUCGAACGUUUAACGAAUUAUAUAGAUCGUAGGGCAGUUACAUCGGUGGAUAACGCCCACAUUGGUGAUCCAGAAAGACCGGUGUCGCGCGGAUGACGUAACCUCGCCCUCGAGAAGAGCGUAUUUUACCACGGAACCGGUGUAACGUCGAUUCAAUUUGCCACGCGCGCACCCUCCGAGGAUGGAAUUGUAAAGGAGAGACUUGGACUCGUAGUCGAUAAUUAACACAUGCAACACGUGCCUCUCUCUCUAUCUCUAUCUCGUGUCUCUCGCUUUUAAUUGUCGUUCUUUAUGGACCGGAUAUAAGGAGACUGGAUGGAUGAUCGAGAACGUCCGCGGAUGAAUCACGCGAUGUACGAUGAUGUAGUUAUAUAAGCCAUUGUUAUUCGAUGGGAGAUCAGAAGUAGUCGCGGUUUUUGAAGAGGAUCUCGUCGUCGCGAGACCCAAUCGUUCGUUUUUCAUAUAGAAAAUACCGAUCGAUAAUAUUAUAAUAUUAAUAUAAUGGAUCGUUUGUACGGAUUUUUCUCGAGACUUUGAGAAAGGAUCAAUCCCCAAAAUCCCUGUACACUUUCAACUGCGCGUUUAUUAAAAUACUUGGGCGUUCGAUUGAGAAACGAUUAUUAUGCGGAAUAAACGAAUUCUCGGCCACUAUUAUUGCCACCAAUUAACACGAAACUCCUCUCUGUUGAAUCGUGCCUAUGUACCGGAUCGACGCGCUAUUCCUAAAGCUCGUACUCUUUUCACGGGAACCGUCGAGGCCCUCGCCAGGAUAACAGCUUUUACCCGUCCGACUGUGAGGGCAAGAAUACCGCUCUAAUGAAUUAUGGGACGUACAGUAGUUAUAUCGGCGUGUACCGGCUAUAUAACAACCGACGAGGACGUGGCCGAUACCGCGGGAGAGUGGGCGCCCUCUAUCCCACUCCCCUUCACCUUGUCUCCCUUCUUCGUCUUGCGUUCGAACGAGCGGGCGAGCGCACACGCUCCGUGUUACGAGCGAGAACCGAGAUUGAUUUCGCAAUCGAAAUCUAAGAAUAGCGUUGUAAAAUGUACUCCGGGCGAAGCGUGCACUCUCGGUACCGACAGAGAGGCCGUGUUACAGGAGGAUGUGUGGGUGUUGGAUGGAAGAGGGAGGGAGGUGCGCGCAACUCACUACCGGUUUUGGAACAUAAAUCAAGGAUAGCGGAGUACAAUCGGCGUCCAAUCUCGCGAGAAGGAGAGAGAGAGAGAGCAAAGAGAGGAUCCGAGAUUGGGACCGCAAACGAGUUUAUUAGCCCGGCGAAAAAGCGGAGGAAUAUUGUAACGAACCGCGGCCAUAAUAGAGGCCAUCCUCGGAUGAAAUCCGAUCCACGAAAUCGCGUUUGGUCUUAAUUGAACGGCAUCACGGUCUUAAAACGUGGCUCUGCGACGAGUGGAUAUAUACACGAGCUCUGCCUCUCACCUAUCACGAUCGGCAAUUAACGAUAAUACGAUUGUUCCGUUUGUAAUGGCGAGCAAUUUGUAAUUCGAGCGGGUUACGUGUGUAUUUGAAUAAUACGUGAUACGUAUCGAGAUGGAGAAACUUAUUCGGGAUUAUUGAUGGUUUUUCCCAAGGGAACUUACGCCGAUGCUUUGAGAGGAAGAACGUUCUAAAAAGUGACGAGUUUCUUUGUGUUUUUUUUUUCCUUCUCAAACUGUAAGAGCAAUAAUUAGAAGAUGGGAAUUAGGAGAUAGAUAGAUAUCUUGAAUAUAAAAUCGAAUAAGAUCUGAUGAAUAAUCAGUCGAGGAGGAAAAAAAAGAAAAAGAAAAUAUUCCAAGAAAUAAUUUGGUAAAUGAUAAUUUUACAUCUGCUAUUUAUCAUGUACCAUCAAUGAUCAGCGUGUUAUGGAACAUGUUAACGAUGGACUGUCGGACCAUUGAUGACGAAGAGCUCGUUAAAAACGAAAGUACAACGUGUUCGGUCGAGAGGCUCGAAUCUCUUCCGAGAAGCAUCGAGCGCGUACUCGCGUCGAAACAAAGCUUAAUGAAGACGCAUUUCCGUGAAACGCGAAGUAGCAGCCGCAAGGAAGAUUAUACGCGAAGUAUACAUUCUCCUCCCCUUCCACUCUCUCUCACGAUGAAACUUGAACUACUUUAUGAAUAGGAUUAAUAAAAUCUUGUCCGGAGUGUUGUCGAGUAGACGUCAGAAAAUUCUUUUGGCGGCCAUUCGUUAGCUCUCUCUCUCUCUCUCUCUCUCCUUUAGCAAGCUUCACCCAUGAAAUCAAAGCUUUAACCCUUAUCCGCAAGAUAUUGGGUCAUAAUAAGGUGAAAUCGCUACUCCCACGACAUCGACGUUUAUGGAGAGUUUGGAUAUCUUUAAAGUUUCGAGAUAUAUAUAUAGAACAGUAAAGGAGGGUACCGUUCGAAUAGGAAUAAUAAGGUGAAUAAAAAAAGAAAUAUUUACGCAUCCGAAGUGGAAAGAUCUUUAUCCAAGAGCCAUACACCUAUGCCACCGAUAAUUUACAUCGCAGCAAGUAAUUUCAUCGUGACAAAAGGGAGCAAAAGUUUACGAGACCGUGACCCCACGAGACUCGUCCCCUGUCACCGCAUCAACCUGUUCCAAGCGAGCGAGGGAAUAAAGAAAGAAAUAAAGAAGUAGAUUAAAAACAAAAAAAAA